rnacentral:misc_RNA from 1 species
CUGGGGAAUUCUCGAGUUGCCGCAAAAGGCAUGCAAAGAAAAAAACUAGGCAGGGAGGAACUUACCUGAGAAAGGAGCCCCGGGGCAACUCUUCUCAGAAUCCAGCGAGAGGCGUGGAGAGAGGGCCGCGGUGCUCUGGAGUAGAGGCUCUGCCUUCGAAACACCAUCGAUCGUCCCUUCUUCUUUACCUUCUUCUGGCUCUUCUUGGAGACGCGACCGGUGGCACCCCUGCUCGGUUCGCUCCAACCUGCUUUUGUUCUAUCUGCGCCUCUGCCGCGGAUCCUCUCUUGAGCCCCU